UGGAGGAAGCCUGUCACUGUGGGGCAGACGUUGAGAUCUCCUUGUUCAAGCUACUUCUAAACACAGUCUCCUUCUGCUGCCUUCGGAUCAAGAAACCCUGCCAGGAAGGUCAGAAGUUCAAGGUUGCCUUUGGCUACAAACUUGCAGGGUAAUGGCCGCUUCUGGAAGGCUCGACCCCGGCUUGAGGAGGUCUCCACCGGUGCUCUUAGGCCUGAGCAAGUCCAGCCCUCGACGGCUUCCUGUUUCUCCUGCUCUGAGCUCUGGGCUCCAACACCACACUCCCCACUCGGCAUGCACGCCCUGCACAGAAGCCCAAAAUGUUAAUGUCAGUGAUGGAUUGCCUAGGAAUAAAUUUAUCCGCAACCGGAAGCCUGUUCAACCGUGACUCCCAUGCCUCAGAAACAAGUUCAUGCCUCGGAGCAUGGAUCAGGCCUCAGCGUUUCCAGACUCAGGGAAGGACCCAGUCUCUUCGCAGUCAAGCUUCCUCAACAGGUACCCUGGAUGCCCAUGCCAGAAUGGCACCGCCUUCUGAGCAAGGACCCCUCCUUCUAGCCAGGCAGCCUCUCGCUCUACAGGUGUUCCGGCCACGCCCGCCCACCCGCCCUCGGUCCCCAUCCCAGCAUGGUGCGCACGCAUCCCUAGCCAGUGUUUCCCCUAUGCUGGUCUUGCCACCGCCCCUGCUUCUUUUUUUCCAGAGGCAGGCUCUGCAUUUGCUGAAGCUUUCGCCAUCAAAUAAA